UACGUAGGGGGGCUAGCGUUGUCCGGAAUCAUUGGGCGUAAAGCGCGUGUAGGCGGUCCGGUAAGUCCGCUGUGAAAGUCGGGGGGCUCAACCCUCGAAUGCCGGUGGAUACUGUCGGGCUAGAGUGCGGAAGAGGCGAGUGGAAUUCCUGGUGUAGCGGUGAAAUGCGCAGAUAUCAGGAGGAACACCAAUUGCGAAGGCAGCUCGCUGGGACGUAACUGACGCUGAGACGCGAAAGCGUGGGGAGCAAACAGG
rnacentral:rRNA from 1 species